CCUACGGGUGACAGCAGUCGAGAAUCAUUCACAAUGGGGGAAACCCUGAUGGUGCAACGCCGCGUGGGGGAAUGAAGGUCUUCGGAUUUUAAACCCCUGUCAUGUGGGAGCAAAUUAAAAAGAUAGUACCACAAGAGGAAGAGACGGCUAACUCUGUGCCAGCAGCCGCGGUAAUACGGAGGUCGCAAGCGUUGUUCGGAAUCACUGGGCGUAAAGCGUGCGUAGGCUGUUUCGUAAGUCGUGUGUGAAAGGCGCGGGCUCAACCCGCGGACGGCACAUGAUACUGCGAGACUAGAGUAAUGGAGGGGUAACCGGAAUUCUCGGUGUAGCAGUGAAAUGCGUAGAUAUCGAGAGGAACACUCGUGGCGAAGGCGGGUUCCUGGACAUUAACUGACGCUGAGGCACGAAGGCCAGGGGAGCGAAAGGGAUUAGAUACCCCGGUAGUC
rnacentral:rRNA from 1 species